rnacentral:lncRNA from 1 species
AACAGCAGCAAAAAAACAGCAACUGGAAUUUAAAAAAAAAACAAGAACAACAAUUGGAAAUUAAGGAAACAGAGGAAAUAAACUCGAUGCCUAUAACACAAUGUCCUUAAAACAGAUUUACCACCUACUGUAGUGCUUUAGGUUUGCUCGUAACUGUUUCCCAGGAUACAAUGGGUAUGAAUUAUCCGUCAAGCACAAACAGAUAAUUUCGGCGUACCACAACAACGUACAAACUCGAUUAGAAACAGGACGUUAGAAGGAGGAAAGAAAUUUUUGUAACUGCUCUGUGUGCUGGUUGCUCUCGUGUGUCCAAAACAGAAGAGGAAGCUGCCUUUUUAUACACAUGUGAGUUUGUAACAGUAGCAUAAUAUUGAAUUUUCGAAUUCAGUAUAUGUGAUUUAUUGUUGUAACAACCAAAUGAAUAAAAACAAUUCAAUUCAGUCUGUUGAAUUCAAAAUUGAAUUGCAUAACAACCUAAAAAUAAUUGCGAAGCUGUUACAAAUCCUUUGAAUUCAAAAGAUUCACAAACAAUAAUUGUAAACUGUUACAAAAAAAUUAAAAGGAAAUUAAAGCCGUGCCAUGCAAGCCUGGAUGAUUUUGGGCUUGACAUUCGCGUACGCAGGAUGCGUGGGUGCACAUGAGUUCAACCAAAUCGGUCUUGGAUUCGCACCCCCCUGCGCACGCGCGUGUGGAGAGAGCCUCUAUUCUUAUAAUUCUUGCUCAUGCAUGGGUAAGUGUCUAUAUAUAAACACAAAUCCCUUGGCUUAUUUUUCCCUUGUGGGAUAAAUCUCAAUUCCUUUUAAAUUUCUAACUUCAAGGGUGCACUUUGAGAGACAAUUUCUCAUUCACCCAAGCACCAUUUUGAGUAAAUAAAUAUACACUUUCAAAGUAUUCAUGGAAUAGAAUCCGAAUCUCACAAGAUUUUCCACUUUCGCUAAGUGGGAUCCACUCAAAAUGUGCCCUCAAAAUAAUAUAUUGAUAUGCUAUUUUUUCAACAUCUAAAGAUCCAUAAGCCCCUACAACUAGGAAGCCCUAAAACCAAAAGCAAAACUAGAAAGCUUUAAAUUAGAAAACCACCUUAAACACAACAAUAAGAGCAUGAAAAUCAACAAAAAUAAACCUAAAAGCAUUAUGGGCCAUCUAGACAUGUCACAAAAUAAAGCACGAAAGAAAAUCCUAAAUAUGAUGAUAAAAAAAGAGAGAUUUCACCAAUGACGAAGCAAGGCACGAGGAGACAAAAAUGAUGGUUUGGAAAUCCAAGCAUAAGAUAAAAAUGCUACCAAAACUACUGAACCUGCAUAUAAUCAGGGAAUAGGUGCCUAACUGUCUCAAUAGCAUGACCCCAAAGGCAUUGAGAAAUCAUGUAGAAACCUCUCGGCACAAUGCAUCAUCACUAACCAAGAAUCCAUGGAGAAUCCCUAUAAGAAAAAUGAAAACCUGGAUGAGAUAUGCCUUUG